rnacentral:rRNA from 1 species
AGGUUAAGCUACUAAGAGCUCACGGCGGAUGCCUUGGCGUCAAAUGCCGAAGAAGGACGUGGUUAGCUGCGAAAAGCCUCGGGGAGCCGCGACAGGCGUUGAUCCGGGGAUGUCCGAAUGGGGAAACCCACCUGGGGGAAUGCCCAGGUACCGCCCGUUGAACACAUAGACGGGACGGAGGGAACCGAGGGAACUGAAACAUCUAAGUACCUCGAGGAAAAGAAAUGAUUCCCUGAGUAGUGGCGAGCGAAAAGGGAAAAGCCUAAACCUGUACAGCGUGAUAGCUCGUAGGCGUUGCUGUGCGGGUGUUGUAGGACGCGGCGGGGGUCGCUACGGAGAUCCCAAAGAGUUACAAAUCUGGCUGAUAGUUGAACGACACUGGAAAGGUCGGGCAGAGCGGGUGAUACCCCCGUAAACGAAAUUAGACCAGACUCUUGCCGAUGAUCCUGAGUACCACGGGGCACGCUAAUCCUGUGGGAAGCUGGGAAGUCCACUUUCCAAGGCUAAACACAUUUGAUGACCGAUAGUGAACCAGUACCGUGAGGGAAAGGUGAAAAGCACCCCAGUGCGGGGAGUGAAAUAGAACCUGAAACCGUGAGCUUACAACCAGUCGAAGCACUAUGGCGGCUUGUCCGCCAGUGUAACGGCGUGCCUUUUGGAGAAUGAGCCAGCGAGUUACUUCUCAGUGGCGAGGUUAAGCCAGUAACAGGCGGAGCCGUAGCGAAAGCGAGUCUGAAUAGGGCGUGGGCGACCUCUGUGUCGUCUUAGUCGCUGGGAGUAGACCCGAAACCGGGUGAGCUAUCCAUGGCCAGGGUGAAGCGAGAGUAAUGUCUCGUGAAGGCCCGAACACACCAAUGUUGCAAAAUUGGGUGAUGAGCUGUGGAUAGGGGUGAAAUGCCAAUCGAACUCGGAAAUAGCUGGUUCUCCCCGAAAUAGCUUUAGGGCUAGCCUCAAGCGUUCAGUACCGGAGGUAGAGCACUGGAUGGGCUAGGGGGCUUAUCGCUUACCAAACCCAACCAAACUCCGAAUGCCGGUAUUUUAGAGCUUGGGAGUCGGACGGCGGGAGAUGAGUUUCGUCGUCGAGAGGGAAACAACCCAGAUCACCAGCUAAGGUCCCCAAGUACAAGCUAAGUGGGAAAGGAUGUGGGGUUACUGUGACAGCCAGGAGGUUGGCUUAGAAGCAGCCAUCCUUCAAAGAGUGCGUAAUAGCUUACUGGUCUAGUGAUCCUGCGCCGAAAAUGUAACGGGGCUCAAGCUUGUCACCGAAGCUGUGGGUUUGUCCGUUCUACGGAUGAACAGUAGGGGAGCGUUCUGUCCAGCUGCGAAGGUCGAUCGUAAGGACGGCUGGAGCGGACAGAAGUGAGAAUGCUGGCAUGAGUAGCGUAAAACAUGUGAGAAACGUGUUCCCCGUAAGUCUAAGGUUUCCGACGGAAGGUUAAUCCGCGUCGGGUUAGUCGGUCCUAAGGCGAGGCCGAAAGGCGUAGCCGAUGGAUAUCCGGUUAAUAUUCCGGAACCACGUCGAGUCGUUUGAGCGAGGGGGGGACGCAGAAGGGUAGCCCAGCCUGUUAUUGGAUUCAGGUGCCAAGCCUUUAGGCGAUGAAGUGGGGGUUAAAAGACCCACCGAGCUGAGGGGUGAUGGCGGUGCGCUUUAGCGCCACAAGUGGGUGAGCCCAGGCUGCCGAGAAAAGCCCCUAGCGAGACUCACGUGACCGUACCGCAAACCGACACUGGUAGACGGGUAGAAAAUACCAAGGGGAUCGGGAGAACCCUCGUUAAGGAACUAGGCAAAAUAGAUCCGUAACUUCGGGAGAAGGAUCGCCGCAUUAGGGUGAGAUGACAUGCUCUUUCGAGCCCGAAGCGGCCGCAGUGAAAUGGCUCUGCCGACUGUUUAUCAAAAUCACAGGUCUCUGCAAAACCGAAAGGUGAUGUAUAGGGGCUGACGCCUGCCCAGUGCCGGAAGGUUAAGGGGAGAGGUUAGCGCAAGCGAAGCUUUGAACCGAAGCCCCGGUGAACGGCGGCCGUAACUAUAACGGUCCUAAGGUAGAUUUCAAGCUGCCUGCCUCGGCGGCAACGUCGAGGGCAAUAGCCGGCUGUAUGCGGGAAACCCCUGAGAGCCUGAUCUACUCGGAGGCAAACGUCCUCCAGUAACAAUGAUCAGGAUUGGGCAAUCCGCAGGAAACCCACGCAUGUGGGGAUCCUCAGAGACUAAACGCCGGCCAUCCAGUCGCGAAGGAGAAGAUCAUGGAACUCGAUCCGCAAUGGGUCGUUGGUUUCGUAGAUGGCGAAGGUUGUUUUUACGUGGACGUCAAUCCCCAUCAAGAAAUGGCGAUUGGCUACCAGGUUCUGCCUGAGUUUCGCGUGGUUCAACACGAACGUGAUGUGCAAGUGCUGUACAGUUUGAAGCGAUUUUUUCACUGUGGCGUCGUCCGCCGCAAUCAUGAAGAUCGCUACGAAUUGCGAAUUCGUAAGUUGUCUUGCUUGUUGGAAGUCGUGGCGUUCUUCGAACGCUAUCCCCUGAAAACAAAAAAGCAGGUAGACUUCAGAAAAUUCGCUCAGAUCAUCCGCAUGAUGACUGAAAAACGGCAUCUGGCACAGGAUGGUCUGGAACAGAUUAUUGACAUCACGUUGACCAUGAACCGGGCGGAUAAGCAGAAAGCUGCCACCAUCUUACAAGAUCUUCACACUAAGACUGGAUGAAGAGAUAGUCCACGCCUGCCAGAAAUGGCUGGAAUCAGUGAGCGAAAUUCCUUGUCGGGUAAGUUCCGACCCGCACGAAUGGCGUAACGAGCGGAGCACUGUCUCAACGAGGGACCCGGUGAAAUUGAAGUACGCGUAAAGAUGCGCGUUACCCGCAGAAGGACAAAAAGACCCCGUGGAGCUUUACUGUAGCUUGGCAUUGCGUUAGGGCUUGGUUUGUAGAGGAUAGCUGGGAGACUGAGAAGCUGGGGCGCUAGCCUCGGUGGAGUCGUCAGUGGAAUACCAGCCUGGCGAAGUCUUGGCCCUAACCUGCGUCCGUGAUCCGGCGUGGGAACAGUGCCAGGUAGGCAGUUUGACUGGGGCGGUCGCCUCCCAAAAUGUAACGGAGGCGCGCAAAGGUACCCUCAGGCUGAAUGGAAACCAGCCGAAGAGUGUAAAGGCAUAAGGGUGCUUGACUGCAAGACCUACAAGUCGCGCAGAGACGAAAGUCGGCCUUAGUGAUCCCACGGUUCCGAGUGGAAGGACCGUGGCUUAACGGAUAAAAGCUACCCCGGGGAUAACAGGCUAGUCUUGCCCAAGAGUUCACAUCGACGGCAAGGCUCGGCACCUCGAUGUCGGCUCGUCGCAUCCUGGGGCUGGAUUAGGUCCCAAGGGUUGGGCUGUUCGCCCAUUAAAGCGGUACGCGAGCUGGGUUCAGACCGUCGUGAGACAGGUCGGUCUCUAUCCUCUGUGGGCGUAGGGAAUUUGCGAGGAGCUGCCCCUAGUACGAGAGGACCGGGGUGGACUGACCUCUGGUGUGCCAGUUGUCGCGCCAGCGGCAUUGCUGGGUAGCUAAGUCGGGCAAGGAUAACCGCUGAAAGCAUCUAAGUGGGAAGCCUGCCUCAAGAUAAGAUUCCCCACCAGGUUAACUGGGUAAGUGCGCCGGGAGACCACCGGCUUGAUAGGCGGCACGUGUAAGCACAGCAAUGUGUUCAGCGAAGCCGUACUAAUGCACGAGGGCUUAACCUU